rfam:Erythrobacter sp. SD-21 1101482001791, whole genome shotgun sequence.
GGAGAGGUGGCAGAGUGGUCGAAUGCGCUGCACUCGAAAUGCAGUAUACGGGCAACCGUAUCGAGGGUUCGAAUCCCUCCCUCUCCG